AGAAGGGGGCAGGAGGGAAAGGUUGGGAGGGGAGGGGCGGAGGCAUCUGCAGCUCCCUAUCUCAACUCCUGCUCCCGCAUUCCUCCUGCCCCUUGGGGGGCUAGAGGACCGGGAAGGGAGAGAGAGGUGCCCUCAACUCCUGCCCUUCCCCCCCAUCUUCCCUCCCCAGGUGCCCCCAGCUUCCGGCAACUCCACCUGGGAGAAAAAAAAAUUAAAUGGGGGGAGAAAAUAAUUAUUAAUCAGAUUAAUAAAAAAAAAAAUACUGGUAAUUGAAAGGAGCGCCCAGCGCAGGUUUCCCUGGCAAUGGUUAGGCUCUUACAGGGAGGACUGUUCUGCGGAGCGCUCCGAACGGACAAACCACAAUAAAAAGUUCACGUUCAUGGAUGGAAUCCACAUGACUUCUUGUGGCCAAUCCAACUUGAAGAGAGCUACAUCCUUCCCAGUGGGGAGCCCAGGCAGCCCCCCACUCCACCCUAGACGGGAACAGGAGACACACGCCGCUGGAAACCUCCUAGCCAAGGCUGACCUGGCCGUGUUCUGACGAGCGAGCGGAGAGGGUUUAGACCCAUACUGGGCAGCCCUGCGGAGGCAGCAGGAGGGGUGAGAGUUGGGGGCGGCCUCCAGAACCCCCAAAGAGCCCGUCAUCCUCAGGCUCCUUUCUCAGAGAAAAUGACAUUUUUCCUUCUCCAAGACUAUCCCUGGUGUCAAGUCUCCUCAAUUCCUAGGUUCAGAGGGCAGCUUAUUCCCAAUCUUUUUAGAAUUGAAAAUAAAAUGAAAGUCCAAGA